UCCUAGGCUUGACUGUAGAGGAUCUCGGAGUAGCAAGGACUCUAGAGAUGAAGUGUGUAGGCCGAUCGACAUGCAGACAUCACUAGCACUCAUCAACCUUGCCCCAGUUAUGGGUUAAAUAGCCGGCUGAAUGAUGGUCAUCAACCUUGAAAGGAUGUCUAGGAGAAGAAAACUCUUGAUAUGAAAUUUUUGGUCGUAUGACUCGUCAGCCUUGGUCUUCAAUUGAUUUAAAGGAAACAAAGCUUGAGUAAAGAUUCUCUGGUUCUCCAGGUUUGGGAUUGAGAAAUAUGUCAACAACCUAUCCUUGUAAAAACGAAGAAUGAUUAAAUACUGAUUAAUCUCCCAGAUGAGGAACAUCACAACUGGGUCUGCAUGAAGCUUUGACAUUCAAAAUACAAGUUAUCCUGGAUAUUUUAAAAACACGUAAAUGAUUUACUGAAGGAAAAUUGAUGGAAAGUAGGACCUGGAUGUAAAAUAAUACCAACUUAAGACAAAGCGUGCUUGUUAAUUCAAAAAUCAUCUGAAGCAGAAGAAGAAGAAUGGAUUCUGUUGAUCUGAGGAACUUGGAAACACUAAUUGACAAACAAAUAUGUAGUAUAAUACAAUUAUGUUUAAAGAGAGAGAUAGAAAGAGGGUGAGAGCCAGUUGUAAAGAUUCAUUCUUUUAAACCAGAUAUGUUGAUUACAUUCAAAUUUCAUAGGCCUACACAGUUCCCCCCUAUAUGGUCUUAGUUAAUACAUGUACUAGGUGUUUAAUGUAAGACUUUGAUGUGACGUUUGAGAAUAAUCAUCUACCAUUGGUUUAAAUUAUUUUUAUGCCCUUUCAGUUGGGGGGG